GGGGAUGUUCCGGUUUCGACAGGCAGGAACGACUUCUGCGUGCAGUGGAGUGGUGACCUAAUCACCGACACAACUACAAGUGCCAAAAAAACUGUUCUUUUCCAUGCUCCGGCCCUCAGGGCCUGCGCUGCCUAGUCUUAGGACUAACUGACGCACUUUAGGGAGACAAAGUUUCUCCUACGCAUGACCAAUAAGGGUCUCAUCAGCUUAUUCUUAUUGGGUUUUCGAGCUGUUCAGGAUUGCUCCUUAUCCGCUUAGGGGCAUCCGGUCAUUCAAGCGGAUAGGAAGGGUGAAUUUCGCUGGUGUCUUUUUCCUUCCGAAAUACAACACCAGACAAACUGUAGUACGCAUUAGAGAUUCCUGUUUGGACACGGGUUCGACUCCCGCCAUCUCCACCA
rnacentral:tmRNA from 1 species